CAUAAGUGCAUGAUAACGUUAAAGACAGCACGGCCUAAGUUAAGACAUUUGGAAAAUAUUAGUUAUAAAGUGUUUCAAUUUUAGUUUGUCUGUGCUUGUGACAACAAAAUUAUUGUAUAUGCUUUGUCUCUGUAAAGCAGUGUGUAGAACAAUUUAAUUUGUGGCUACUAUUUUAAAUAACAAAAAUAAGGCCUUAUAAAGACGUUCUGGACAUUGGGCUGCAAUUAACUUCUUUAGAGAAGAAAUUAAAGUGUGUAUACAGAAUGUUUUAAUCGACUUUGAUUUGUACAAAUUGAUCAAUAUGAUACAUCUAUGAAAACAACGGAAGAGAUGUCGAAGAUUGCGCAAAAAGAAACACAAGAACAAAUCAAUGGACU
rnacentral:sRNA from 1 species